rnacentral:tRNA from 1 species
GGGAAUGUGGCUUAGUGGUAGAAUGUUUGCCUAACAUGCAUAAAGCCCUAAGUUCAAUUCUUCAGUUCCA